rnacentral:lncRNA from 1 species
AGGAUUUUGCCCCCUGAGGUUGUCAGAAAAUCUCACUUUAGCCCCACGAGGCAAUCAGAGCAAACACAACAGAGAACAAGUUACUUCAAGAGUAUUAAAUUAUAUGUUGUCAUUCAAAACAAUCGUAGACAUUUAAAAGGAAAGCUGUGUGUCAGGCAAGAAACAUAUUGGACUUUUUUUUUUUUCUUUUCAAGCAUCACUUACUGCUUAUUAGCCACAAAAUGUUGAAACAGUUUGAGAUAUAUUGUAAUUAAACUGAUGCAGUGCCU